rnacentral:rRNA from 1 species
UACGUAGGGGGCAAGCGUUGUCCGGAAUUAUUGGGCGUAAAGAGCGUGUAGGCGGUCCGGUAAGUCGGCUGUGAAAGUCCAGGGCUCAACCCUGGGAUGCCGGUCGAUACUGCCGGACUAGAGUUCGGAAGAGGCGAGUGGAAUUCCCGGUGUAGCGGUGAAAUGCGCAGAUAUCGGGAGGAACACCUAUGGCGAAAGCGGCGCACUGGACCACAACUGACGCUGAGGCGCGAAAGCUAGGGGAGCAAACAGG